CCUACGGGCGGCAGCAGUGAGGAAUAUUGGUCAAUGGACGGAAGGCUGAACCAGCCAUGCCGCGUGAAGGGCAGGGACCUAUGGGCGUUAAACUUCUUUUGUGCGGGAGCAAUAAUGGUCACGUGUGGCCAGACGAGAGUACCGUACGAAUAAGCAUCGGCUAACUCCGUGCCAGCAGCCGCGGGAAUACGGGGGAUGCAAGCGUUAUCCGGAUUUAUUGGGUUUAAAGGGGGCGGAGGCUGGGAGGUAAGUCAGCGGGGGAACUCCCCCGCUCAACGGGGUGAAGUGCCAUUGAUACUGCCUUGCUUGAAUGCGGAUGCCGUAGGAGGAAUGUGUGGUGUAGCGGUGAAAUGCAUAGAUAUCACGCAGAACACCGAUUGCGAAGGCAUCUCACGAGUCCGCGAUUGACGCUGAUGCACGAAAGCGUGGGUAUCAAACAGGAUUAGAUACCCCUGUAGUC
rnacentral:rRNA from 1 species